rnacentral:rRNA from 1 species
UACAGAGGUCCCAAGCGUUGUUCGGAUUCACUGGGCGUAAAGGGUGCGCAGGUGGGUUGGCAAGUUCGAUGUGAAAGCCCCGGGCUUAACCCGGGAAUGGCAUUGGAAACUGCUGAUCUGGAGGAUCGGAGGGGGGACUGGAAUUCCUGGUGUAGCGGUGGAAUGCGCAGAUAUCAGGAGGAACACCGGUGGCGAAGGCGGGUCUCUGGGCAGUAACUGACGCUGAGGAGCGAAAGCGUGGGGAGCGAACAGG